rnacentral:misc_RNA from 1 species
GCCACCUGAGACAAUGUGCAUGUUCUCAAUAAAAAGCCUUGCGCCAAUAAAUUUAAGAGAAAAAUGCCUACUAGAAAAAUAAGAGCACAAAAGCAGGGUACUCAAUUUUUUAAAUAAAUAUUAACCAAAACUGAUGUGCUCAAACCACAAAGACCAGAUACAGGCAGUGCCGUACAGCCUAACUUAAGCAGUCAGGUCAAACAGAACCUCAAGAUAAUAUCCGGAAAUGACCAAAAUUCAAUUUACCUAGUGCUUCUAUAGCAUUCAACUGGAUUAAUCUGGGCCAGAAAAACCAUGUGGG